CGAGCACCAGCUGUGGUCUCGUCACCUGCUAUAAUAGCUCCUCUAGUCAGUCCCCUUAACAACUGUCACUGAAGUGAUGGCUGCUGUUUGGUUCUUGGUUGUUUUGGUACAUGCUGUCUUGAUGGAAAAAGGCCUUUGUUUUCCAGCUGGGGUUAAACAAGAUGAGUCCAAUACUCUGGUUAAAAAAGGUGUUCCAGGUGGGAGCAUUAUUCCAUCAAUCUAUUUUCUAUACAGCUUAUCACCACUAUAGUUGUGGGCAUGGUGGAGUCUAUCCUCUCUAUCUUUGGGUGAAAUCUAUUUGUGAGCGGCAAGGGCCAAAAGAACGACGCCUUCAGCCGCGACCAGCCGAGCCACAUGAGCGGCAAGGGCCAACAGAACGACUCCAACCACAAACCGAAUGAGAAUCUUCACGUCUGACAUGUGCAACAGCUACCAGAAUGACAGAAUGGAUGAUGAUGACUCAACAGACGGUGUGUUCGCUGUGAAUGUUUGAAGUGUACCGUUGUCUUGAUGGCUGCAGCAUGAUUGAAGGUUGAUUGAUCUCAGUUUCAUGUAACAUCUGUCUGACAAUUAAAACAUUUUACCUUGAUACUA